rnacentral:rRNA from 1 species
GGAGGAUCCGAGCGUUAUCCGGAUUUAUUGGGUUUAAAGGGUGCGUAGGCGGCCUAUUAAGUCAGGGGUGAAAUACGGUGGCUCAACCAUCGCAGUGCCUUUGAUACUGAUGGGCUUGAAUCCAUUUGAAGUGGGCGGAAUAAGACAAGUAGCGGUGAAAUGCAUAGAUAUGUCUUAGAACUCCGAUUGCGAAGGCAGCUCACUAAGCUGGUAUUGACGCUGAUGCACGAAAGCGUGGGGAUCGAACAGGAUUAGAUACCCUGGUAGUCCACGCCCUAAACGAUGAUAACUCGAUGUUGGCGAUAGACAGCCAGCGUCUUAGCGAAAGCGUUAAGUUAUCCACCUGGGGAGUACGCCCGCAAGGGUGAA